CAGUAGCCGCGUAAUACGUAGGGUGCGAGCGUUAAUCGGAAUUACUGGGCGUAAAGCGUGCGCAGGCGGUUCGUUAAGACAGAUGUGAAAUCCCCGGGCUUAACCUGGGAACUGCAUUUGUGACUGGCGAGCUAGAGUAUGGCAGAGGGGGGUAGAAUUCCACGUGUAGCAGUGAAAUGCGUAGAGAUGUGGAGGAAUACCGAUGGCGAAGGCAGCCCCCUGGGCCAAUACUGACGCUCAUGCACGAAAGCGUGGGGAGCAAACAGGAUUAGAUACCCCCGUAGUCCCUGUCUCUUAUACA
rnacentral:rRNA from 1 species